UCGGACGUGGUGCACGGCGCACACCCGCUUGUGCUAAUCGUUGCGCUAUGUCUAUAGUGAUGCGGGAAUCCUGGGUUCGACUCCCAGCGUCCGAA